CAGGCUAUGCAUUCCGUGUG
rnacentral:miRNA from 1 species